rnacentral:tRNA from 1 species
ACCUGCGGCUGGAUCACCUCCUUAAUCGAAGACCUCAGCGUCUUCAUGAGUGCCCACACGAAUUGCUUGAUUCACUGGCUAGAAAGCGAUUGGGUUUUAGACCCGAGAGAGACGAUUGGGUCUGUAGCUCAGUUGGUUAGAGCGCACCCCUGAUAAGGGUGAGGUCGGCAGUUCGAAUCUGCCCAGACCCACCAAUUGUCAUGGGAUGUGGCCGAUCUGUAGAUGGGGCCAUAGCUCAGCUGGGAGAGCGCCUGCUUUGCACGCAGGAGGUCAGCGGUUCGAUCCCGCUUGGCUCCACCAUUCCUCGACGAAUCGCUUGAAAGUACAGAAAUGAAUGUUUGGUGACGAGCAUUGAUUUCUGGUCUUUGUGCCGGACUGUUCUUUAAAAAUUUGGGUAUGUGAUAGAAAUAGACUGAGUGAUCACUUUCACUGGUGAUUGUUCAGGCUAAGGUAAAAUUUGCGAGUUGCUCGAGAGAGCGAAAUGCGGAUUUUCGGCGAAUGUCGUCUUCACGUUAGAGACAGUAACCAGAUUGCUUGGGGUUAUAU